rnacentral:rRNA from 1 species
UACGGAGGGAGCUAGCGUUAUUCGGAAUUACUGGGCGUAAAGCGCACGUAGGCGGCUUUGUAAGUAAGAGGUGAAAGCCCAGAGCUCAACUCUGGAAUUGCCUUUUAGACUGCAUCGCUUGAAUCAUGGAGAGGUCAGUGGAAUUCCGAGUGUAGAGGUGAAAUUCGUAGAUAUUCGGAAGAACACCAGUGGCGAAGGCGGCCAACUGGUCCGGAACUAGACGCUGAGGUGCGAAAGCGUGGGGAGCAAAACAGG